GAUGAACGCUAGCUACAGGCUUAACACAUGCAAGUCGAGGGGAAACGGCAUUAAGUGCUUGCACUUUUUGGACGUCGACCGGCGCACGGGUGAGUAACGCGUAUCCAACCUUCCCAUGACUAAGGGAUAACCUGCCGAAAGGCAGACUAAUACCUUAUGGUCUUCACUGACGGCAUCAGAUGUGAAGUAAAGAUUUAUCGGUUAUGGAUGGGGAUGCGUCUGAUUAGCUUGUUGGCGGGGUAACGGCCCACCAAGGCAACGAUCAGUAGGGGUUCUGAGAGGAAGGUCCCCCACAUUGGAACUGAGACACGGUCCAAACUCCUACGGGAGGCAGCAGUGAGGAAUAUUGGUCAAUGGGCGAGAGCCUGAACCAGCCAAGUAGCGUGCAGGAAGACGGCCCUAUGGGUUGUAAACUGCUUUUGUAUGGGGAUAAAGUCAAUCACGUGUGAUUGUUUGCAGGUACCAUACGAAUAAGGACCGGCUAAUUCCGUGCCAGCAGCCGCGGUAAUACGGAAGGUCCGGGCGUUAUCCGGAUUUAUUGGGUUUAAAGGGAGCGUAGGCUGGAGAUUAAGUGUGUUGUGAAAUGUAGACGCUCAACGUCUGACUUGCAGCGCAUACUGGUUUCCUUGAGUACGCACAACGUUGGCGGAAUUCGUCGUGUAGCGGUGAAAUGCUUAGAUAUGACGAAGAACUCCGAUUGCGAAGGCAGCUGACGGGAGCGCAACUGGCGCUGAAGCUCGAAGGUGCGGGUAUCGAACAGGAUUAG
rnacentral:rRNA from 1 species